rnacentral:piRNA from 1 species
UCCCUGUAACUCCAGUUUUUGUUUUGCU